CACCACAGCUACUGGUCUGCAACUGCUCUAAAUGUGGCAGUUGUAGCAUUCCUCUGUGGAAAAGAAAUUGUAGCACAAUUAAAUGCCUCUUUCUUGGCAAAAUAGAAUGUAGGCAUAUACAUGUGUGAACAGCACUA